GUAAACUAACUUCUGCGUACAAUUUUAGAGAAAUAAGCUUUUUUGCAUAUGGAACAUUUCUGGGAUAUUUUAUUUUUGCUCAUGAAACAUAGGACCAACACUUUACAUGUUGCAUUUAUAAUUUUGUUCAGUAUAGUUGCAAACUAUAGCUUUGAGAAACAUGUAAAAUAACACAAUUUGACCUGUUGUGUUCAUUGGAUGGGAUUCGGUUUCCACAAUGUAAUUUUGGCAUAGCACCUCAUAGUAAGGUCACCAGCCUGCUCGUUGUGGCGCACACCUGUCACCAUCUUUAUGCACACCUGCGUGUCAUCAGUCUCAUCUGGACUCCAUCACUUCCCUGAUUACCUUCCCUAUAUGCCACUCCCUUUGGUUCCUUCUCAAGGCGUUAUUGUUUCUGUUCCUGUGCCAUGUCUGUGUGUUGUUUGUGGUUCUU